CGUAUUGGGUCUGCUGAUUCGGAGGAAUCAUGCGGAAGUAGUAAAUUAGACACAUCAAGUAGUGCAAAUCACCAACCAAAACAGUGACAUUUUGGAAAACUAAUGAAAGUAAAGUUUAUUUUAAACAAGAGGAUCUGUGCCAGUUCCAUUCCGAUAGUUAGGUUAUUUGGUAGAGGUAGCCUAUAGUCACUGAAUUGUCAUCAUCAGAUAGUUAUGGCUUGGAGCGACUCUAUGGUGUCAAUGAAUGGAACUCAAAAGCUGUAUGACGGUAUGAAAGUCUGGAUAGCCCUACCCAACCCUACCUCAGGUCACAAACAAGGUUUCCUAUAUUGGACAUGACUGUAAGGACAUCCCAGAGUUCCUUGGAGAAAGAUAUGGACUCUUGACAAGACGGCUAGAUCUCAGCUUCAAUCAGCUAAGGAAUGAAGAUGGUGAAAUGGCUGGUCCUACGUGCUGCCAAACUUUGCUGAUGGUAUCAGGCAGAUUGAGAUGAAUUGAUGACUCAGUAUCGACCCUCGCUUGGAUGUGAAUGGAGAAGUUGAAUGUAAAUCUAUCCGGGCGGAAACCAUUACCAUAACCCCACUCUGGAAUAAAGCAUUCACCAAUUUUACAGAGGCUGCUGAGGUGUCUGCCUGACCACCAGGCCUACACACAGCAUAUGGCAGGGUAUGACAGACUACACCCAACACCAUACUACAGACCCAGCGCUGUCCCCCACCCUUUGGGCUUGUCAGGAGAAGUCAUAGCCCACCAGAAGGAAAUCUAAGACUACAGCAGAUCAAACUGUAUUUGGUAACGCUAUGCUUUGUGUGUGCCUGCGUGCGUGCGUGCGUGCCUGCGUGCGUGCGUGCGUGCCUCGCACCACUCUGCCCAGGGGAGUCUUGCCUAGUGAGGUGUAUUGUAGCUUGGCUAGUCACCCUCUGUGCCAACAUGGAAGCAUGGUCUUUCCAAGGCUUACUUUACCUCCGAGCACUUUUCAUAUCAUACAUGACAAAUUAUGUUAUGUUUCUGCUUGCUUCAGAUUGUUUUCACUCUUCAAAUCAUCUGUGAGGAGAGUUGCUCUAAAAAAAGAG
rnacentral:lncRNA from 1 species